rnacentral:rRNA from 1 species
UACGUAGGGUGCAAGCGUUGUCCGGAAUUAUUGGGCGUAAAGAGCUCGUAGGCGGUCUGUCGCGUCGGCUGUGAAAUCCCGGAGCUCAACUCCGGGUCUGCAGUCGAUACGGGCAAACUGGAGUGCUGCAGGGGAGACUGGAAUUCCUGGUGUAGCGGUGAAAUGCGCAGAUAUCAGGAGGAACACCGGUGGCGAAGGCGGGUCUCUGGGCAGUAACUGACGCUGAGGAGCGAAAGCGUGGGGAGCGAACAGG